rnacentral:rRNA from 1 species
UACAGAGGUGGCAAGCGUUGUUCGGAAUUACUGGGCGUAAAGGGCGCGUAGGCGGUCUUCUAAGUCUUGUGUGAAAUCCCUCGGCUCAACUGAGGAACUGCACGGGAUACUGGAAGACUUGAGUUCGGGAGAGGGAAGCGGAAUUCCGGGUGUAGCGGUGAAAUGCGUAGAUAUCGGGAGGAACACCAGUGGCGAAGGCGACUACCUGGCCUGUUUCUUGACGCUGAGGCGCGAAAGCUAGGGGAGCAAACGGG